CCUACGGGGGGCAGCAGUGGGGAAUAUUGGACAAUGGGGGGAACCCUGAUCCAGCCAUGCCGCGUGUGUGAAGAAGGCCCUCGGGUUGUAAAGCACUUUCAGUGAGGAAGAACGCCUGGUGGUUAAUACCCAUCAGGAAAGACAUCACUCACAGAAGAAGCACCGGCUAACUCCGUGCCAGCAGCCGCGGUAAUACGGAGGGUGCGAGCGUUAAUCGGAAUUACUGGGCGUAAAGCGCGCGUAGGUGGCUUGAUAAGCCGGUUGUGAAAGCCCCGGGCUCAACCUGGGAACGGCAUCCGGAACUGGCAAGCUAGAGUGCAGGAGAGGAAGGUAGAAUUCCCGGUGUAGCGGUGAAAUGCGUAGAGAUCGGGAGGAAUACCAGUGGCGAAGGCGGCCUUCUGGACUGACACUGACACUGAGGUGCGAAAGCGUGGGUAGCAAACAGGAUUAGAUACCCUUGUAGUC
rnacentral:rRNA from 1 species